rnacentral:rRNA from 1 species
UACGAAGGGGGGCUAGCGUUGCUCGGAAUCACUGGGCGUAAAGCGCACGUAGGCGGAUUGUUAAGUCAGGGGUGAAAUCCUGGAGCUCAACUCCAGAACUGCCUUUGAUACUGGCGAUCUUGAGUCCGGGAGAGGUGAGUGGAACUGCGAGUGAGAGGUGAAAUUCGUAGAUAUUCGCAAGAACACCAGUGGCGAAGGCGGCUCACUGGCCCGGU